UGCAAAAAUUUGUCUGCAGUCGUUUCUACAUGCGGGUCUUAGUUAAAUCGUAAUUCAAACAGAUUAUACACCCUUUGUGUAAAUUUACAGACUAAAAUUGAUAGUCUGUAUAAUUACAGAAUGAAUGUUUGUGUAGACCUGUACAACAUAAGUACAAUUUGUUUGUUCACAUUUACAUUCCUGUUACAUCUAAAUGUUAAAGUCGUUAUGGAUUUAUUCUAUUUUCAGGUACCAGAACAAUAUGAAAAUAUUUAUCAAAAUAUAAGCUCAUCAAGAAAAAAAAAUACUGCGGAAUGGUGUCGGCUCUAGACGAAGCGGUUGGUAGAAUAACUAACGCUUUACAAGUUAGGGGAUAUAUGGAUAACGCGCUUAUAGUGUUUACAACUGACGAUGAUACAUGCAGUAGACUGGUUCCCUAAUUUUCUGUCAAUUGCCGGCGGUACUCCAGGUAACAUGUAGAUGUAGAUGUAUAACUAAUGGGUAGUAGCAGUCUUCCGUUGUGAGAAAUUUUUGUUUUCUUAUUUUAUAUUUUUGCUCAGUUUACUAAUAUAAACUGUGAUGCAUAUGACAUUACAAACACCUUUUUUUUAUCUCACAGACCUCUUUCUACAUCAACAUUAACUAACAAAACAAAAGUUUUGUCAAUCAAAGGUUCUUUCUCGAUGCAUGC
rnacentral:lncRNA from 1 species